CAAUAGCGUAUAUUAAAGUUGUUGCAGUUAAAAAGCUCGUAGUUGGACUUCUGCGGGUGGCGGCCGGUCGUACCCUUAUGUGGCGUGAACUUGGCUCUUUGCCGCCCGCAUCUUUGGGGAGAUUGUGCGUGGCAUUAGGUUGUCGUGCAUGGGAUUCUCAUCAUUUACUGUGAAAAAAUUAGAGUGUUUAAAGCAGGCCUUUGCCUUGAAUACAUUAGCAUGGAAUAAUAAGAUAGGACCGUUGUCUAUUUUGUUGGUUUACAGAUGUCGGUAAUGAUUAAUAGGGAUAGUUGGGGGUAUUCGUAUUCAGUUGUCAGAGGUGAAAUUCUUGGAUUUUCGGAAGACGCACGACUGCGAAAGCAUUUACCAAGGAUGUUUUCAUUAA
rnacentral:rRNA from 1 species